rnacentral:rRNA from 1 species
CAGCAGCCGCGGUAAUACGUAGGUGGCAAGCGUUGUCCGGAAUUAUUGGGCGUAAAGGGCUCGCAGGCGGUUUCUUAAGUCUGAUGUGAAAGCCCCCGGCUCAACCGGGGAGGGUCAUUGGAAACUGGGAAACUUGAGCGCGGAAGAGGAGAGUGGAAUUCCACGUGUAGCGGUGAAAUGCGUAGAGAUGUGGAGGAACACCAGUGGCGAAGGCGGCUCACUGGCUCGGUACUGACGCUGAGGUGCGAAAGCGUGGGGAGCAAACAGGAUUAGAUACCCCUGUAGUCCCUGUCUCUUAUAC